ensembl:lncRNA
GUAGCUUCUUCCAUAAAUGCCUGGUUAGGACCUCCAUCUGAUCCCCGAGGGCUCUUGGUCAGAGGUUGCAGAAUGGCUCCCAGACUUGCUUUGCUCAUCUCAAAUGCUUGUUUAAUAAACUUAAUUGAUAAUUUGGAGACUUGGGAAAUCUCACCUAAAAAUUCAGAGUUCCAGAUUCACUUGAAAGUGUCAGUGAUAAUGAGACCAUUGGGCCCACAUUCCAGGAUAGCAACAAAAAGCUAGAGCUGAGCAGAAAUUGCCUUUGAGAUGAGAUGCAGCCUCCAGUUGGCCCCAGUCUCUGUCCUAUUCAUCUCGCCUUCCUAGUGCCUUGACUGGCCCUGGGAACCUCUGUGUUGGCCACCACUGCCAUCCAGUUUUAUGCUAUACAUUGUGUCACUUGAUUAUAUGUAAUUCAGCACUUGAACACAUAGCAUCUGGUAUUAUCCUUUAAUUCAUAUACUUAAAAUAUCUUUUCUAAAAAGAGCUUAAUGCAAACUGUAUUUUUUGAAAACCGGCUAGGUACCUGUUAGUCUUAAACACCAUUCAUUUAUUCUACAAGUAUAAUAGGCACUGCGUUAGGCUUUGCAGGUAUUCAUGUCCCCAUGAGAUACAGACUCCUUCGGACAAUAUAAAAUGUACCACAGGACAGGAAGGUAGAGGAUGCUCAGGGGAGGUCUCAAGGCAUGCAGAUACAAAGGUGAAUGUUAAAGUGCCUGCCAUCAGGAGCUUGCACCAGCUAGGGUGACCAGCCCUAAAAUCAACAAUGGCAUCUACCACUGAGUGACCUAUUCAUUCUGUUAUAAAGGACAGUUCAACUGAAAGAAGCUAAGUGACUUCUUCCAACUGGCCAUCCUGUUGUCUUUGAGACAGACGCACUCAGGCUAAAGACAUUUACUUGGAUGUUUGAUGUUUAAUUGAUUGUAGGCCCUUAUGGAGGGUUUACCCGCCCACUUUCUCAUCCAGGUCUUUUGGCUUGGGCCUACUGAUGCUACUUAGGCCCACUUGGGCAGUUUCCUCACCCCACUCAGCAUCAUCUAUUGGUACUAACCGUCCUGAACAAGGUGAGUCUACAGGAGUAACGGGGUGAAAGCUGAUGAGUUCUGAUGUUCCAGGCUGUCGAGGACAGAGCUCACUAGGGCCUGGUGGAUAUUUCAGGCCCUGGUAGAGAAGGGAGGAGCAGUUCAGCUGAGAGAGGAGACAUGCCCUGGGUGGUGGGGUUUCUGUGACAGCAGGGAUGCUGGUUGCUCCCAUCUUUUGUCUUUUGUUCCUUCUACAGAUAAAAGCCAGUGUGUCCUCUAGUGAGAUGGAUGCUUCUAUGAGCCUGGAGCUAGGAAGAGGCAGCAAACAAAAGUGAACAGUCAGUGUUUCCUGAAGAUUUACACAGAAACCUACCCACAGAUGCAGAGAAGGAAGCCUACGCUGACCCGUAGGAACUGGCUGGCCGUCUCCACCAUAUCUUCUGCCUCUAGAGGACAAAGGCAGUGUCCCGAUCAUCUCUGUAUCCCUUAUGUAUAUUGAAACUGAGUCUCCAGAACCAAGAAAACACAGCUCUAAUGUAAUGAAGCCAGGAUUCAAAUCCACUAAUGUAGACAUCCAACCCUGCUUUGUCCAAGCUGAUUCUAGAGACACCAUCCCAGGUCCUCUGUGAUGUGUUCCUUUGGCAAUUUCCCU